CUUAGAUAAUUCAUAUAUUUAUUACAUCAGUUGCUUUAUCUGGUUUUAUACACACUAUGUGUCGGAUGUUGGUAAGUCUUAUAUAACGUGACGGAUGUUGGUAUGUCAUGUGACGGAUAUUGGUAAGUCUUAUGUCAUGUGACGGAUGUUGGUAAGUCGUAUAUCACGUUGUUUAUGUUUGUCUUAAGUUCUGAUUGCACAUCUUUAAAUGUUUCGGUUUAAUUUAUUGAUAAAUCGUAUAACAUGUUAUAACUGUUAACCUACCUAUCUAAAUAAACUUCCAAAUAAACCUAUGUUGUACGAAAAGUUGGGCUUCUAAAGAUUCGGGUGCUCCGAAAAAGUUGGACAGGACCUGCUUCACCUGUGAUACUGGUCAUAAUAAAAUCAUUUUUAAAUUAAAAGAUGUAAUAAUGUCGGAAUGAGCAAAUAAAAUUCUGGAUGUGUACAAUAGCUUUGUGAAUUGCGAAAACAUUAGAGUGUAACAAUUAUAAUAAGUAUUCUGAUAAUGAUUAAAAACUACCAUAACUAAAUACUCAAUGUAUUUCCCCUGAGUACAAACAUAUACCAUGUCAUUUUCUUAAAUGUUUCUUCUAUUGUCAUACUCUUCUAAAUAUCAAUAAAACAAUAAUCCUGUAAUGCAAUAACUGUAAGCAUGAAUAAACUAAUAUAUACUUACACAUGUAGUGAAUGAUUUUCACUUUAAAGUUCUGAUUCAAUAUAAAAUACAUUUCAGAUGUUUGUACGUGCGUUUAUACAUGGCUUGAUUGAUCAAUAGUUAGUAAUAAAAAAGCAUUAAGAUUAUUUUAAACGGUACAAUAUAAAUAUCAUCUUCAACAAAUGUAUCAAACCGGGCAGGUAUUAUGAAAAAUCAAUAGUCGACAACAUUGAUUUGAUUUGAAUAAAUGAUUGUCAAAGUUUAAUUAAUGAAAAAAACCUUUUUUUGUUAAAAAUUGCAAUGCUGAUAAGAAUUUUUAUUAAUUAACCGAAUUGCAAUUAUUCGUUCAAAAUAAUUAAAUUGUUUUUAAAUUAUUGUAGUUUGACCUAUUUAAUAGUAGGUCCGAAUAUAACCUACAGUGACUAUCGUAUAUUAUUUGGUCAUUUCCUAUUUUGUAUAUACAGAGGGGCAGAACAUGCAUAAGUCGGAAUGUCAUCCGAAUUUCUAAAAAAAAUAGUAUUUUUACGAAUCCAAAAAUCUACCUGCUGUUUUUGUUUUUGUGUCUUAAGUAGGGAUUUGUAGCUAAAUCUUCGGUUUUCUGAGCUGUGUACUGAUACUUUUUGUUUCUCCAUUUGUAGUUUUUUUUACCCUGAGAUUGACUAAUACAUAGAUUUAUGAUUUUGGUAUAUCCCUUCUCUCUGUUUUAUUGCCCAUGGUAAUCUAAUAUUAGAUAUAUACUUAAUGAUUUUUCUCAUGUUACAUUAAACAACGUUACACUUUUUUCGCCUGAUUUGAUUAUGAAGUAUUUAGUGAGUAAAAUUAGAAACGUAAGAAGAAAUUUCCAUAUAAUUGUUAAUUUAUACCAAUAUGAGGAAGAGAUUUGAGUUUUUUUGAAUUAUUUUUAAGUGACUAAACAAUUUUCUUAUCCAAAAACUUAUCAAUAUUUUAUAUACAUGUAACAUAUGUGCAAAAAUUAUAUAUAAUAUUAGUAUAAAAUGUCACAUUAUAGUGUGUCAUUGGGCUGAAUAUUCAAUUUUUCCUCAUUGACAAAGGAACGUGCAGGUAGGUUUAAGAUUCUCAUAUCACUUUGUAGAGUCCGUGGUAACAGUACACUUAUACAUCUCAAGCAGACUUGGAAUGAUCAUAACAAUUCAAAAUGCAGGUUACGAAUGUUAAACUAAAUAGUCAGGUUGUAUAAAUGUUAUCAUGAUCAAGUAUAUAAUGGUAAUUUUAAUUGCAAGAAAGGUAGAAAAUGGUGGAUUUGUUCACGCAUCGGUGACAAUAUAAUGGAAUUUGAUGCGACUGUCAUACAAGUGAGAGGUUUUAGCUGCUAUAAAACCAGUUCAAUCACCAUUUUUAAUUUGAAAAUGCCUUACCAAGUCAGAAAUGACAGUUCUGUCAUUCGUUUUUAUUAUUUUUUUUGGCCAUGUGUUAUAACUUCCGAAUUUCCUCUGAGUUCAGUAUUUUUGUGAUUUUACUUUUUUUGAACCUUGGUUAUGCCAAAUAACGUCUCGUCGUUCUUUAUAUAAAAAAGUUUAUUGGAAGAUACAAACACCUUGUUGAUAAAUAUUCCGUAUUACCUUCACAAAUAAUACAAGAUAAUCUCGAAGUAUGGAUUGUUGGUACUAGUUGUUAUCAUCUUUUUAAAAUAACAAAUUAUAGUAUUCUAACAAAACCUCUGUUAAACUAUUUAAUAAUGGAUAUAGUUACGAUACUAUUGUCAGGUCAUCAGGGAUUGCCUAUUUUGGCUUUAAUAUUGUUUUACUUAGGGUCUUUGCAGCGGAAAUAAACACAUUUAUUCUAAAACUAGUUGCUGGCAUGAUACGGGUUAUUCUUCUUCAUAUAUUUAUGAUGUAAAUACUAAACCCCUAAACGGGGGGUUAUACUUUAUAUUUAUAUUAUAAAGACAUGACCUUUCAAUCAGUUUAAUUGAGGUCUGGAGCUGGCAUGUCCUUUGUUAAUUUAUCUAUCAUUGUCAUUUGUUUCUUUUUUUACUGACGUCAGACUCGGACUUCUUUUGAACUGAGUUUUGCUACACAAGACUGAAAUGUGAAAAACCCCAACGUCUUUGCUUUGAAAAAAAUUGAACAAUUGUUUUCGAUUAUCAUCGAUUAUCAUCACAUAAAAUAAGUAAAAUUAACUUAAAAAAUAUGACAUGAUGUUGUUCUAACAAAUAGUUCAUAAGUAUCUAAUGCAUGUUAUCAAAUACAUGACUUUUGUGUAUGUUUAUAAUAAUAAUUUUAUAAUAAAAAAGGCCUAAUGGGCAUAUUAUAAUUUGUUAUUUGGUUUUGAUUAAUAGGCUUUAGAACAGCUGUAACUACAUAUUGCUGGACAUCGAGGCAGUUUGCUAAUUAUUAUGAUGAUGAAAAUACUACUCCUAUGUGUGUUUUUGGAAUAUACCCUACAAGGUAUGUUAUAAUUAUUUAUGUUGCAAUAGAAAUAUAGUUCAUAUACACUAAUAUAUUAAUUUCCAAAAUCCAUAUCUUGUUUAUGGUCGUUGGUUGUUGGUUCUUUAUUCUAUUUAAAUGACAUUGAAUAUACCAUGGCAUCAAUAUCUGUAUUGGUGCAAGAAUUUAAAGUACAUUAAAAGAAAUACAACCAUUCAGCAGGAAAACUAACAAUCCUUGUCAACGAAGAUCGGAGUAGAACACUACUUAGAAUGUCCAAGGUUUGAUCUAACAGUAUCGGGUCCCAUGCUACUGAUAUAUAUUCAUGAAGGUUAAAAUUGAGAAUGGAAAGGGGGAAUGCGUCAAAGAGACAACAACCUGACCGAAGAGCAUAAAGCAGUUGAAGGUCACCAAUGGGUGUCCAAUGCAAUAAGAAAAUCCCGCACCCGGAGGCGUGCUUGAGAUGUUCCCUAAACAAAUGUAUACCAUUGAUAAUGGACAAUAUGACGACUAAGAUACAGAAGUCUCUUUCACAAAUAAAUAAGCAGAUUUAUUUUUGACCCAACUUUAAAAUCAUUAUUAAAAACUAAUCUAUAGAAAAAAGGACAUAUCGCCUAAAUUCUUUGUUUUUUAUUACACAGAAGUUAAACAAAACAUGAUACGAAUAACAUUUCUUAACUGGCCUUCGAUCGGUUACAGAUUCAAAUUUCUAAAGCAAAUAAUUCAAAAUAAAUCCAAUCUUUUAAAAUUUCCAAAUUAUACCCCACAAUUAAAGAGCGGCAAAAGAUAAUAAAGAGGCAUUCAAAAUCACAAGUUAUCAAAAAGACAAACUAUCAUUAAAAAAAACUCAGUAUACUACAAUAACUACAUGUAAAAACAGCAUAUUGAACAAAUUUAAAAACUGUAUAAGCUAUUGGGUCUUAGAUAACAUAUAUAUAUAUGUGUGCUCUUAAUUCAACUUGAUUGGUAACAUACGUUCAUUUUACAACUCACAUGGUUAUCGUCUUGUACAAAAUUAGAAACCUUGUCAAUAAUUAUUCUUGUUCAUAUCUUAAUGCUUUACGACAAAUAUCAAUACGAUAUAAGUUUAACAGACACCAUCACGAUUUGGUUGGGCAAUACAAUUUGUAAGAAUCUCAAACCAUAGAGACAUCUUUUUGCAAUUUUGGAUGUGUAUAGUUGUAUGAUUUAAGUGAUUGAAAAUUAAUGUGAUUUCACAUGGCGGAUGAUGCAGUCAUAUAAGGCGGAGUUUGCUCUGUUGAAACACUCGGCAUCGCUUCUUUAUAAUUUCGUGCUAUUCCAUAGGUUUAUUUUAUAUCUGUAUUUUUUGCUUCCUGAACAAUUUACGAGAGUUAAAUAUCAAUAAAUUACUAUUGAUUUAAUUUCGUAUUCAAAUAUAUUUGUUAGAUUUGAUCUUUUUAGACAUGGCACGAUUUAACUCCAGACAUAUUGUACAGACUCCUCUCGUUGUUUGUUUGUUAUUUAUGUUACUGUUUUUUCUUAUUGGCGUAUAUUCCUUAUACAACUUUCUCUUCUCUAAUUAAAUUUAAAUCAUCUAUAUAUCAAUGUGUAGUAAUUUCAUUAUAAAUGACCGCACAGUACCCUUAAAAAAUAUUAACGAUACAUGGUUUUCAGGAACUUAGCUUUUAUCGAAUUUCUUUGUAUUUUUGUGAUCAUUUUGAAAACGAGAUGAUUUUAAGAUAUGCAUGAUUACUUGCAGACAGAACAACGACACAAUAUGGUAAUUUUGAACCACGGCAACCCAUGUGGUCCCCACCUAGAACCACACCUAAACCUACAACUACUGCUGGAACUACAACGCCACCUGGAGGUCGAAGUGUUCGUUUACCACUCAAUUUAUAUCCAGUUUUAUAUGAUCUAGAACUUCAACCUUUUAUAUAUGAUAGAAAUCCAGCCGACUUCUAUUUUAAAGGAAAAGUUAAAAUUGAAAUGGAAUGCAGGAGAUCAACAAAUGAAAUAGUUCUGCACAGUAAUAAGCUUAACAUUACGACAAGUUCUGUGACGAUAACACCAAUGUCAUCUGGACAGAGUAUAAUAAAUCCUACAAUAGAAUUUGACACUGUAAAUCAGUUCCUGAUUUUAAAAACAAGUACUCAAUUUAUUGUCGGGUCGAUCUAUACUGUUUACAUUGAGUUCACUGGACCUUUACUUCCUGAUCUGGCUGGGUUUUAUCAAAGUUCAUACAAACGUGGAAAUAAUACUAUGUAAGUAGAAAUCAGAAGUCUUCACAUAAAAGAAAGAUGAAAAAUAUUUCUUGUUUCGUUGUAUUAGAUAGCUGUCUCUAGUAUAAUAUGAUCAACUGUAAAUCCUCUUUGAAAAAGCAAAUCUUUUUGGCAGGAAUGAAACACUGAAACAUAUUAAUUAUCGUGUCUAUAGAAGACUUACAUGUUCGUGGAUCUUUAAUGUUGUGGUUUUGCAGAAGUCUGCAUACAAUUCUAUUGAAAAGCUAUUAUUCCUUUAAAAUUUAAUUUCCUGGUUCACCUGUACCCACGAAUUCCACGAAAAUUGGUAUCGGACGAAUAAUAAUGAGUUCAUUGUAUAUGUAUUCAUUGAUCUUAAGUUAUGAUUUUACUUUCAGUUUGCAUUAUGAUUAUUUACUAUUGGAUUGUUUAUUUGACAGUUAUAUUGCAACAACACAGAUGCAGCCAACAGACGCACGAAAAACAUUUCCAUGUUUUGAUGAGCCGGCAGUCAAAGCACAAUUUAAAAUUACACUUGUACGAAAACAACACAUGGUCUCACUGUCAAACACACCAAUAACUAGUAAUAUGACCAGG
rnacentral:lncRNA from 1 species